rnacentral:tRNA from 1 species
UAGAAUAUAGUGUAGCACAGGUAGCACGAAGAUUUUUGAAUUCUUAAGGGUGGGUUCGAUUCCUACAAUUCUAG